rnacentral:rRNA from 1 species
AUUGAACGCUGGCGGAAUGCUUUACACAUGCGAGUCGAACGGCAGCACGGGUGCUUGCACCUGGUGGCGAGUGGCGAACGGGUGAGUAAUACAUCGGAACGUACCCAGUCGUGGGGGAUAACGUAGCGAAAGUUACGCUAAUACCGCAUACGUCCUGAGGGAGAAAGCGGGGGACCGUAAGGCCUCGCGCGAUUGGAGCGGCCGAUGGCGGAUUAGCUAGUUGGGGGGGUAAAGGCCUACCAAGGCGACGAUCCGUAGCGGGUCUGAGAGGACGGCCCGCCACACUGGAACCGAGACACGGUCCAGACUCCUACGGGAGGCAGCAGUGGGGAAUUUUGGACAAUGGGCGAAAGCCUGAUCCAGCCAUUCCGCGUGAGUGAAGAAGGCCUUCGGGUUGUAAAGCUCUUUCGGCAGGGAAGAAACGGCUUGGGAUAAUACCCCGGGCUAAUGACGGUACCUGAAGAAGAAGCACCGGCUAACUACGUGCCAGCCGCCGCCGUAA